GAUGAACGCUAGCGGGAGGCCUAACACAUGCAAGCCGAGCGGUAGAGUCUCUUCGGAGACUUGAGAGCGGCGCACGGGUGCGGAACACGUGUGCAACCUGCCUUUAUCUGGGGGAUAGCCUUUCGAAAGGAAGAUUAAUACCCCAUAAUAUACUGGAUGGGAUCAUCUGGGAUUGAAAACUCCGGUGGAUAGAGAGGGGCACGCGCAAGAUUAGAUAGUUGGUGAGGUAACGGCUCACCAAGUCAGCGAUCUUUAGGGGGCCUGAGAGGGUGAUCCCCCACACUGGUACUGAGACCCGGACCAGACUCCUACGGGCGGCAGCAGUGAGGAAUAUUGGACCAUGGAUGAGAGCCUGAUCCAGCCAUCCCGCGUGAAGGACGACGGCCCUCUGGGUUGUAACCUUCUUUUGUAUAGCGACAAACCUAGAUACGUGUAUCUAGCUGAAGGUACUAUACGAAUAAGCACCGGCUAACUCCGUG
rnacentral:rRNA from 1 species